AUUGAACGCUGGCGGCAGGCUUAACACAUGCAAGUCGAGCGAGCGGCGGACGGGUGAGUAAUGUCUGGGAAACUGCCUGAUGGAGGGGGAUAACUACUGGAAACGGUAGCUAAUACCGCAUACCAUCAGAUGUGCCCAGAUGGGAGUAGCUAGUAGGUGGGGUAAUGGCUCACCUAGGCGACGAUCCCUAGCUGGUCUGAGAGGAUGACCAGCAACCCGGGACUUGAGACCCGGCCCAGCAUCCUACGGGAGCAAGCAGUGGGGAAUAUUGAGCAAUGGGCGCAAGCCUGAGGCAGCCAUGCGGGGUGUGUGAAGAAGGCUUCCGGGUUGUAAAGACUUUCAAGGGAGGAGGCGUUCCCCGCAGAAGAAGCACCGGCUAACUCCGUGCUAGCAGCCGCGUAAUAC
rnacentral:rRNA from 1 species